rnacentral:tRNA from 1 species
GGAGAGGUGUCAGAGCUGGUCGAUCGUGCGGCUCUCGAAAAGCCGUAGGCCGCAAGGCCUCGUGGGUUCGAAUCCCACCCUCUCCGCCA